AUCAACUUUCGAUGGUAGGAUAGAGGCCUACCAUGGUGGUAACGGGUAACGGGGUGUUAGGGCACGACACCGGAGAGGGAGCCUGAGAAACGGCUACCACAUCCAAGGAUGGCAGCAGGCGCGCAAAUUACCCAAUCCCGACACGGGGAGGUAGUGACAAUAAAUAACAAUAUAGGGCUCUUUUGGGUCUUAUAAUUGGAAUGAGUACAAUUUAAAUCCCUUAACGAGGAACAAUUGGAGGGCAAGUCUGGUGCCAGCAGCCGCGGUAAUUCCAGCUCCAAUAGCGUACAUUAAAGUUGUUGCAGUUAAAAAGCUCGUAGUUGAACUUCAGGCCCGGCUGGGCGGUCCGCCUCACGGCGUGUACUGUCUGGCUGGGUCUUACCUCUUGGUGAGCCGGCGUGCCCUUUAUUGGUGUGCGUCGGGGAACCAGGACUUUUACCUUGAGAAAAUUAGAGUGUUUAAAGCAAGCUAACGCUUGAAUACAUUAGCAUGGAAUAAUGAAAUAGGACGUUCGAUCCUAUUUUGUUGGUUUCUAGGAUUGACGUAAUGAUUAAUAGGGAUAGUUGGGGGCGUUAGUAUUCAAUUGUCAGAGGUGAAAUUCUUGGAUUUAUUGAAGACUAACUACUGCGAAAGCAUUUGCCAAGGAUGUUUUCAUUAAUCAAGAACGAAAGUUAGGGGAUCGAAGACGAUCAGAUACCGUCGUAGUCUUAACCAUAAACUAUGCCGACUAGGGAUCGGAUGAUGUUAAUUUUUUAAUGACUCAUUCGGCGCCUUACGGGAAACCAAAGUGUUUGGGUUC
rnacentral:rRNA from 1 species